GCCCGCUUGGCGGAAUUGGUAGACGCACGGGACUUAAAAUCCCGGGGCCGCAAGGCCGUGCCGGUUCGAGUCCGGCAGCGGGCACCA
rnacentral:tRNA from 1 species